GACGAACGCUGGCGGCGUGCUUAACACAUGCAAGUCGAACGGAAAGGCCCUGCUUUUGUGGGGUGCUCGAGUGGCGAACGGGUGAGUAACACGUGAGUAACCUGCCCUUGACUUUGGGAUAACUUCAGGAAACUGGGGCUAAUACCGGAUAGGAGCUCCUGCUGCAUGGUGGGGGUUGGAAAGUUUCGGCGGUUGGGGAUGGACUCGCGGCUUAUCAGCUUGUUGGUGGGGUAGUGGCUUACCAAGGCUUUGACGGGUAGCCGGCCUGAGAGGGUGACCGGCACAAUUGGAACGAGGUUACGGCCAGGACCCCAACGGGGGGAAGAGGGGGGAAUUUUUGAAAAUUGGCCGGAGCCUGAUGCAGCAACGCCGCGUGCGGGAUGACGGCCUUCGGGUUGUAAACCGCUUUCGCCUGUGACGAAGCGUGAGUGACGGUAAUGGGUAAAGAAGCACCGGCUAACUACGUG
rnacentral:rRNA from 1 species